CAUCUCUUUCUUGGCAUCAUAUUUCUUUACUUAAUUGUGCAAGUCUUGGGGGCAAAGGCUCCUAUUUUUGGGGCUGCCAGCUUGUCUCUUCCUUGUGUUUAUCCAAUUGUAUACCAUUUUGGUGAUCCUUGGUGUUAUUGGUUGUCAAAUUUAGAGUCUUAUGGGAUGCCAAAUUCGAGAAGGAUGGGGAAGAGAAGAGAGUAGAGUAUAAGAUCUUGUACCGUAGAAAUGUAGCUUUGAAAGGAAUCUUAUAGCUCGGAAUCUUACUCGUAGCUCUAUGUAUCCACGUUGUAUAGCAUGUGUUGUACUUUGUACUAAUUUAUUCUCUUUUCCUUCUUCCAAUAAUUGUAGUUUAC